GCUCAUGCGGGGCCAGCGGGCGGGGUAAUACGGAAGGGGGUGGCGUUGUGCGGACUUACUGGGCGUAAAGCGUGCGUAGGGGGCCAUGCAAGGGAGGCGUGAAAGGCCUGGGCUCAACCUGGGAACUGCGCGUCAGACUGCACGGCUUGAGUCCGGGAGAGGGUGGUGGAAUUCCCAGUGUAGAGGUGAAAUUCGUAGAUAUUGGGAGGAACACCAGUGGCGAAGGCGGCCACCUGGCCCGGUACUGACGCUCAAGUGCGAAAGCGUGGGGAGCAAACAGGAUUAGAUACCCGGGUAGUC
rnacentral:rRNA from 1 species